UACGUAGGGGGCAAGCGUUGUCCGGAUUUAUUGGGCGUAAAGAGCGUGUAGGCGGCCAGAUAGGUCCGUUGUGAAAACUCGAGGCUCAACCUCGAGACGCCGAUGGAAACCAUUUGGCUAGAGUCCGGAAGAGGAGAGUGGAAUUCCGUGGUGUAGCGGUGAAAUGCGCAGAUAUCAGGAGGAACACCGAUGGCGAAGGCAGGUCUCUGGGCAUUAACUGACGCUGAGGAGCGAAAGCAUGGGGAGCGAACAGG
rnacentral:rRNA from 1 species